GGGGAUGUAGCUCAGUGGUAGAGCGCUUGCUUUACAUGUAUGAGAUCCUGGGUUCAAUCCCCAGCAUCUCCA
rnacentral:tRNA from 1 species